UCUCUAGCUCACAUUUUGGUUUCCACGCCAUACAGCUAGCUAGCUAGCUAGCACCGUCUAGCCCCCGUUCUUCCCUUGAUCAAUGCCUUGUUGCCGGGGGCGAUCGCCACCGCGUCCUCGAGUUUUCAGUUUUGUAUCUAUUGUGAUCAGAACUCAGAUGAUAGAUUAUUAAAAAUUAACAAGAAAACUAGGUGUCUGCGAUGCCGUUUGCUGGAAGCGAUUGAUGGGUAUAUGGAUGUGUUUUGUAUCCUGCCAAAAACCUAAAUCGCUUCGAAGGCAAAUGGAUUUUCACCGUAAAAGAAAGCCGAUAUGAUGUCUUCUUCUACUUCACUUCUUUUGGGGUUGACUUGGGCCUUUCUCUUAUAUUGACCAAAAUAAUCUGCCCAUCUCUUAUGGUGUUUUGUAGCAUGAAAAUUCUCUAUGGCAUCAUUUCACACGUUAAUUUAGAUUUCCAAGACAUGAGCAAAUCAAUUUGGUCUCACUUCCUUGGUAUGUUGUCUGUGUUUCUUUAACUUCACUUACAAUUUGGUAUGUCAAGUGUUUUCUCAAUUUGUUAUAUAUUUUUAAAUAGAAAUGAGCAUCCUGUAAUCAGUUCAUACUUCAGUUUAAGGUCAUGAUUUAUAUUUAUUUUUAGAAUAUCCAAAUAAAUGUUUAAGUUUCUUACAUAUAUCAACCAAGCAUUAAUUGAAAAGGAUGUAGCUAAAAAGUAAAGCAUCGUAUCUGAAUUUAGAAGUCAUGGCGGGUGAAACCACAGAAGAAAAAACGAGAGAGGAAAAACAGAGGCGGGGGAUGAAAGGAAAGAAGUGUCUCAAACUCAAAGUGAAGAAGUAUCAAUAAGAUGCUGGGUCUUGGGAUCCCUGUCUCUUCAUUCAGAUCUCUUGAUUUUAGGAUCCCCCUCAAUAGUGCUUCGGUUAUUUGUUGCUGGAUUUUUUUUCAAAUUUUUUUUUGGUGACAAAAGAUGGAAGAGGUUAUUUUCUUUCUUGUUACAUAUCUCCUCCCUUUUGCUUUCCUGUUGUGAUUGUGCUGUGCAGGUGCUGUUGUCUCAGGUCUUUCCUCUACCAGCCAUUGUUUCUUGGGUCUCUAAACUGGCAAACUCUCAUUGUUUUUAUUUGUUGUGAUGAAAUCUGUAAUGGAAGAUUUUUCAAUUUCCAAAGCAAUUCUGAUCAAAAGUGCAAUAAAGGGAUAAAAAUGAAGGUUUAGUUAGUGCCUUGAUCUGUGCUCUAUUUGGUAUCCGAUAGUGAUUAACGUUCCAGAUGCAUCCUAUGACUUGCCUUUGGUAUCCAAAAAGAACCAUUCGGCUUCAAAGACGAGGGAAAGCCAGCGAUUUAGCUGCCAAUUUGCAACUUUUCAUCGUCCAGAACAAUUCACAGGCAACGUGUUUCGAGGCCUACAAAAAUCGCGAAGCAAGCCUUCAUGACAGCUGAUUGUUUAUGUCUAGGAACUAUGGAUGGCAACUUCUUUUGGAUUUGGGGUUCUUUCUCCCUAAUCUUGAUUGCAUAUUGUCUACAAGAUUAAUCAAUGCAGUAAAACAAGAGUGACGGGCAUUGUUAUUUCCAGGGAUUACCAUUGACAGGCCUAGGAAAAAAGAAGGUGUUCAUGUUUAUUUGUGAUUGUAGUGUAAUCUGAUGUGGAUUUUUUGUUCGGAUGGUGGUUGUAUUAACACUCGGACUGAAUCUUUACAAUACCUAGCCAAGUAUUUUGCC